ensembl:snRNA U6 U6 spliceosomal RNA
AUGCUCGCUUCAGCAUAUAUUGAAAUUGGAAGGAUACAGAGAAGAUUAGCACGACCCUUGUGCAAGGAUGACACACAAAUUUCUGAAGCAUUCCAUAUUUUU